rnacentral:misc_RNA from 1 species
GAAAUGCGAUAAGUAAUGUGAAUUGCAGAAUUCAGUGAAUCAUCGAAUCUUUGAACGCACAUUGCGCCCGCCAGUAUUCUGGCGGGCAUGCCUGUUCGAGCGUCAUUUCAACCCUCAGGCCCCCAGUGCCUGGCGUUGGGGAUCGGCACACGGCCCGCACUCGUGCGGUCCAGCCGGCCCCGAAAUCUAGUGGCGGUCUCGCUGUAGUCCUCCUCCGCGUAGUAGCAUACACCUCGCGGCUGGAACUAUGCGGUGGCCACGCCGAUAAACACCCCAAUUUCUGAAAGUUGACCUCGGAUCAGGUAGGAAUACCCGCUGAACUUAA